GAUGAACGCUGGCGGCGUGCUUAACACAUGCAAGUCGAACGGAAAGGCCCUGCUUUUGUGGGGUGCUCGAGUGGCGAACGGGUGAGUAACACGUGAGUAACCUGCCCUUGACUUUGGGAUAACUUCAGGAAACUGGGGCUAAUACCGGAUAGGAGCUCCUGCUGCAUGGUGGGGGUUGGAAAGUUUCGGCGGUUGGGGAUGGACUCGCGGCUUAUCAGCUUGUUGGUGGGGUAGUGGCUUACCAAGGCUUUGACGGGUAGCCGGCCUGAGAGGGUGACCGGCCACAGUGGGACUGAGAUACGGCCCAGACUCCUACGGGAGGCAGCAGGGGGGAAUAUUGCAGAAUGGGCGGAAGCCUGAUGCAGCAAUGCCGCGUGCGGGAUGACGGCCUUCGGGUUGUAAACCGCUUUCGCCUGUGACGAAGCGUGAGUGACGGUAAUGGGUAAAGAAGCACCGGCUAACUACGUG
rnacentral:rRNA from 1 species